rnacentral:rRNA from 1 species
GAUGAACGCUGGCGGCGUGCCUAAUACAUGCAAGUCGAGCGAACAGACGAGGAGCUUGCUCCUUUGACGUUAGCGGCGGACGGGUGAGUAACACGUGGAUAACCUACCUAUAAGACUGGGAUAACUUCGGGAAACCGGAGCUAAUACCGGAUAACAUGUUGAACCGCAUGGUUCAACAGUGAAAGACGGUCUUGCUGUCACUUAUAGAUGGAUCCGCGCCGCAUUAGCUAGUUGGUAAGGUAACGGCUUACCAAGGCAACGAUGCGUAGCCGACCUGAGAGGGUGAUCGGCCACACUGGAACUGAGACACGGUCCAGACUCCUACGGGAGGCAGCAGUAGGGAAUCUUCCGCAAUGGGCGAAAGCCUGACGGAGCAACGCCGCGUGAGUGAAGAAGGUCUUCGGAUCGUAAAACUCUGUUAUUAGGGAAGAACAAAUGUGUAAGUAACUAUGCACGUCUUGACGGUACCUAAUCAGAAAGCCACGGCUAACUACGUGCCAGCAGCCGCGGUAAUACGUAGGUGGCAAGCGUUAUCCGGAAUUAUUGGCCGUAAAGCGCGCGUAGGCGGUUUUUUAAGUCUGAUGUGAAAGCCCACGGCUCAACCGUGGAGGGUCAUUGGAAACUGGAAAACUUGAGUGCAGAAGAGGAAAGUGGAAUUCCAUGUGUAGCGGUGAAAUGCGCAGAGAUAUGGAGGAACACCAGUGGCGAAGGCGACUUUCUGGUCUGUAACUGACGCUGAUGUGCGAAAGCGUGGGGAUCAAACAGGAUUAGAUACCCUGGUAGUCCACGCCGUAAACGAUGAGUGCUAAGUGUUAGGGGGUUUCCGCCCCUUAGUGCUGCAGCUAACGCAUUAAGCACUCCGCCUGGGGAGUACGACCGCAAGGUUGAAACUCAAAGGAAUUGACGGGGACCCGCACAAGCGGUGGAGCAUGUGGUUUAAUUCGAAGCAACGCGAAGAACCUUACCAAAUCUUGACAUCCUCUGACCCCUCUAGAGAUAGAGUUUUCCCCUUCGGGGGACAGAGUGACAGGUGGUGCAUGGUUGUCGUCAGCUCGUGUCGUGAGAUGUUGGGUUAAGUCCCGCAACGAGCGCAACCCUUAAGCUUAGUUGCCAUCAUUAAGUUGGGCACCCUAAGUUGACUGCCGGUGACAAACCGGAGGAAGGUGGGGAUGACGUCAAAUCAUCAUGCCCCUUAUGAUUUGGGCUACACACGUGCUACAAUGGACAAUACAAAGGGUAGCGAAACCGCGAGGUCAAGCAAAUCCCAUAAAGUUGUUCUCAGUUCGGAUUGUAGUCUGCAACUCGACUACAUGAAGCUGGAAUCGCUAGUAAUCGUGGAUCAGCGUGCUACGGUGAAUACGUUCCCGGGUCU